GCUUACGGCCAUAUCACGUUGAAAGCACCGGUUCUCAUCCGAUCACCGAAGUUAAGCAACGUUGAGCCUAGUGAGUACUUAGAUGAGUGAGGGCUUGGGAAACCUAUGUGCUGUAAGCG
rnacentral:rRNA from 1 species